GGCUGGUCUGAAGGGAGUAAGUUAGCUCAAUUGAUUGUUCACAGUCAGUCAUAGAUCAAGCUCCUUGUUCUGCUCUUUCCUUCUUCUCACUACUACGCUUGACUCUAGUCUUAA
ensembl:Y_RNA Y_RNA Y RNA